ensembl:lncRNA
GGAGUCUGGGGCCGUCGGUAGCGGUGGCGGCCUGCGACCCCGCUAGCGCUCCAGCAAGCGGGAGGGACGCGUCCAGUGCAUUCGCGAGAUCCAGCUGCCGGUCCCUGGAAUCUACUCGCGCAAGGCAGCGGCUGCACCGACGGCCCGAGGUUCCCGGUCAGCGGGCUGCGGAGUAUCGUGCGGGUAGCAAGGGGAGGGCGAGUGCUCCUGCGGCCCCCAGACGACAGCCAGAACAUGCAUCAUUGUUAGAACCAUCACCCUGCAGCUAGCUUGGACACCAUUAAAAGGGCUCAUCAGCUGCAAAUGGAUAGAAGUAUCUGAUAUUCGCGAAGACAGAGUUUCAGGGCUUCUACCUGGAGCUACACUCUCCAAAAGUCCCUGCUUGGCCUCCCUGCACCCAACCCUACCCCAUCCAGUCACAACUUGGGUCGUGUGGUGUUUCUUGGCAACUGGAACACAGACUCCUCCAGCAGCUCCGCAGGCCCCUUGUCCUCAGUGAGCAGAAGACUACAGAAGCUGGCUACUGAAGAGGCUGUCCAAGUCUUAGAGCUCCUCUUCGGCCCUGCUUAGCACAUUUACCACAGAGCAGUAACUGAGUGCUGGAUGUUACUCAUUCGUGUUCACCACCUGCAGGGACUGCAGAGGGAUUUGUCAGACCCCAUUUCACUAAGGGCCACCCUCUAAGGAUCUCCACAGGAGGCUGCCCAUAGAGAGAAGUGGCCUGCCUAGGGUCUCCACUGCCUUAAGGCCUACGUGGACACUUCCAGGCCUAAGGGGAUUAAUAUUUCUUCACCUACCUGUCAUCCACAUAUCAACUGGAAAAUUCUCCCUCCUGUUGUUUUUUGUUCUUUUGUUUGUUUUUUGGUAGGAAGAGUUUUAACUACUGCUUCAAUUCCUUUAGUAGUUAGAGGACUAGUCAGCAUUUCUUUUUCUUCUUGAGUCAGUUUUGGUAAGUUAUAGUUUUCUAGGAAUUGGUCCAUUUUGUCCACCUUCUCAAGUUUAUUGGCAUAGUUUCCUUAUUUUUUUAUUCUCUGCUGUAUACAAUCUGUAGUUAUGUCUCCUUUUUCAUUGCUGAUAUUGGUUAUUUGUGCCUUCUCACUUUUUUUCUUGAUCAAUCUCACCAGAGGUUUGUCUAUUUUACUAGUCUUUUCAAAGAACCAACUUUUGGCUUUGUUGCUCCUCUCUAUUUUGUCUUUGUUUUCUAUUUCUUUAAUUUCUGCUCUUAUCUUUUUUGAUCUCCUUCCUUCCACAUUUUUUGGAUUUAUUUUGUUGUUAUUUUUCUAAUUUCUUAAAUUGGACACCAACCUUAUUAAUUUUCAGUCUUUCUUGUUUUCUACUUUGCACAUUUAAGGACGUAACUUUCCCUCUAACUACUGCUUUUCUACAAGUUCAGCCAUGUCAUAUUUCGUUACUGUACAGUUCCAAGUAUUUCAGCAUUUCCAUCAUGGUUACUUCUUUGACCUGCAAGUUAUAUAGAAGUGUGUUUCUAAAUGUUUAGAGAUUUUAAAGUUUAUGUUAUUGAACUCUAUCUUUAAUUGCAUUAUGGUCAGAGUAUGUGAUCUGUGUGAUAAAAAUUCUGAAAUUUAUUGAGACUUGUUUUAUGGCUUAAUAGGUGAUCAAUAUUUUUUAAUGUUUCCUAUGUGAUUUAUAAGAAUGUAUGUUCUCUAACUGUUGAAUACAGAGUUCCACAUAAGUCUGUUAUCAAAUUUGUUAAUCGUAUUGUUCACAUUUCCUAUAUCUAAACUGAUUUUUUGGUCGUAAUAUACCAAUAAUUAUAAGGUAUGUUAAUAUGCAGUUAUGAUGGUGGAUUUGUCUAUUUCUCCUUGUAGUUCUUUUUUUUUCUUUUACUUAUUUUGAGGGUAUUUUAUUAGGAAUAUUCAAAAUGAGAAUUGUUAUAUAUUCCUGGUAAACAUGUAAUGACCCUCUCUAUUUCUGAUAAUGCAUUUUUUCCUUGAAGUCUAUUUUAUCUUACAUUAAUAUAGCAACACAAACUUUUCUUCUCCUUAGGAUUUGUGUGGUAUAUAAUUUUCCAUCCUUUUACUUUUCAGCGUUUUCAUGCCUUUAUGCUUUAAUCAUAUCUCUUGGAAAUGGCAUAUAGUUGGACCUUUUAAAACAUCUAAUAUAAUAAUCUCUGUCUUUUAAUGGUCAAGUUUAGUCUGUUUACACUUAUUGUGAUAUAUUUGGACUUGUUUCUACCAUCAUACUUUUUUUUUUGCGAUACACGGGCCUCUCACUGUUGUGGCCUCUCCCAUUGCAGAGCACAGGCUCCGGAUGCGCAGGCUCAGUGGCCACGGCUUACGGGCCCAGCCGCUCUGCAGCAUGUGAGAUCUUCCUGGACCGGGGCACGAACCCGUGUCCCUUGCAUCGGCAAGCAGACACUCAACCACUGCGCCACCAGGGAAGCCCCCAUCAUACUUUUUUAUUUCUAUUUCCUACCACCACCUUUUUGAUGCUUCAUUUUUCUCUUUUUUUUUGCCUGCUUUUUAGUUUUGAAAUUUGUUUGUUUGCUUUCUUAAUCAUUUUUUUCCCUCCCUACUGUUUGGAAUUUACCUAUUCUUUUUCCUUUCUUUCUGUGGUUAUCCUUGAAAUUUUACCAUGCAUGUUUAACUUACAAGGUUUAAAGUUAAACAGUAUUUUAACCUCCCUCUUGAAGAAUGCAGGAACCUUAGAAACCUUCAACUCUAGUCAUUCCUAUCUUGACCACAUGUUAUUUUUUUGAGUGUGUUAGUUUGUUCCUUCUUCCCCUGACCUCACUAUUAUAUCAUCAUUAGUAUUAAUUUAUAUAGAUGGUAUGUGUUUGGAUUUAAAUGCAUACAUUCUUGCAUCUCAGAACAUCGUUCUGGGAUCAUUUUCCUUCAUUAUGAUUACGAUGUUUAGAUACUCUUUUAGUACAUAUCUGUUGGUGUUAAAUUCUCCUAGUCUCUGUUAUAUGUAAAUGUAUUUAUUCUCAUUCUUAAAAGGUAGAUUGUUAUAGGUAAUAUUAGAAGUCCACUAUCAGUCUAAUUGCUGUUUUUUGUAGGUGUUUUUGUUUUCUUAUAUUCUGACUACUUUUCUCUCUCUUUUUUUUGGAGGGGAGGGGUAUAUUCAGGGGGUUCUGCAGUUUCAUUCUAUCAAUGUUUAGGUAUGUAUUUCUUUUUUAUUAUUCUACUUUGGAAAUGUGCUUUAUGCCUCUGGAUUCAUGUUUUUCAUAAUUUCUGGAAAAUUCUCAGCCAUUAUCUCUUCAAAUAUUGCCUUUCUUCCAUUCUUUCUAUAUUUUCUUUCUCAGAAUUCUGUUGGUCAUAUUUUGGACCACCUCAUUCUAUCUUCCAUAUCUCGUAACAUUUCAUUGAUAUUUUCUAUCUUCUUGUCUUCCUGCACUUCAUUCUAGGCAAUUUCUUCAGAUAUAUCUUUCAGCUUAUUGAUUCUCUCUUCAGCUCUGUCUGAUCUGCUGUUUAAUCUGUCCACCGAGUUUUUUAUUUCAAGAAUUGUAUUUUUCAUUUGUACAAACUUCAUAUAUUUCACUUUCUAAUCUUCCUAGUCAUCCCUAAUAGUCUCUUGUUGCUUGCUCAUCUUUGUGGUUGCAUUUAUUAUUUCUUUAAACAUGUUAUACAAUUUUUGUUCAGCCAGUAAUCACUGUUUGUCUAAGUAUGGCAUUGUAAAUAUUGUUCACAUCCAAACAACAUAGUACAGUCUGAUUAC